GAUGAAGAACGUAGCGAAAUGCGAUAAGUAAUGUGAAUUGCAGAAUUCAGUGAAUCAUCGAAUCUUUGAACGCACCUUGCACCCUUUGGCAUUUCGAAGGGUAUGCUCGUUUGAGUGUCAUUGUACUCUCACACUCUCCGAUCCUAUGGAUUCGGGGAGCGGUGGACUUGGGUGUUGCUGCCUUUCCCUGUGGCUCACCUCAAAUGCGUCAGUGCACCUCUUGGUUGGACAUAGUACGGCGUGAUAAGUGUCUUCGCCGGCACCUCGCAAGAGGGUGGCCGAUCGGGAGCUCUGCGCUUUCAAACCGUCUUCGGACAAUUUCUGACAUCUUGACCUCAAAUCGAGUAGGACUACCCGCUGAACUUAAGCAUAUCAAUAAGCGGAGGA
rnacentral:misc_RNA from 1 species